CUGUAUUAUUUAUUGAAUGUCAUAAAAUAUUGGAAUUCUUUGAGGUUUCAGUUUAACCGAUCGUGACACCGGCUAUAAAUCGAUCGAGAUAUAGGCAAAUAUUUCAAAAUAUCAUAAGGUUUAAACUUUGUCACUAUAUUCAAGAGAGCUUACUUUUUAUUAAGUGUUGAAAGAUCAUUUGGUACCUUUUAUUCGGAAAACAGGAAAAUGAAUACAACCCACGGACAAAUGGACCUUGCCGGUAUACUCUUGUGCCGCCUCAUUCCCAAAAUGAGCUCAGUGCACUUGUUGUUUCGGGACAAAGAAAAGACAAAGGUUGUUUACACUCUGUUAUAGCACUAGGCAAUAAUCCUUCUGGUAUCCCGUCAACUGGUGGAUAUUGCUGGUAUGAUGAUAUUGUGACCCUUCAUCCACAAAAUAUCCUCAGUGAACUAGUCAUUUCCGGUAACAUUCACAAUCCAGAAAUUCAGCAGUUUGUCAUGUAUGGCGAUAAGAUAGUAAAGUUCACCAGAAGCCGAAUGUAAUGGUGUGGGGCCGUUCCAAGUUCAUUUUUUUAUUCAUGGAACAGAUCAUUUAAAGAUGUUUUUCAUAUUUAAAAGUGACAUUUUAGUUUCCAUCAAUCUAAGUGUUCUGGUUCAUUUUAUUUUAAUUUAAGAUAUGAUUAUAGAAAAUAAGGUCAUUGUUAUAACUGAUUUUCACCAGUAUUGGAUCAAUAAAUAGUAAAACAUUCAGAAAUUGUAUGUUUGUAUUUGGAAAGACAUUUCAUACAAAAAAUAUAAGUUAACAAUAUGAAGUUCAUGUCGGUCAUAAGGGGUUAGUUUGGGAGGGAUUAAAAGGGUUGUUUGGGUAUUAACUUGUAAUAUUCUGAAUCACUUAUGAGUAUGUAUGCCUACAUAAGUCAAAUAUCGAUGUGUAUUUGCUUGUUUGAUUGACAGCAUUACUAACACAAAGAUUUUAAUAUUGUUAACUGUUAUCAAUCUUUUAAAUCGAUAUAUUAUGAAUUCUUACACAGAUACAUGUAUAUUUUAAAUAUGAUAGAUUGACUGC